rnacentral:rRNA from 1 species
UACGGCCCCCCCCCGCGUUGUUCGGAAUUACUGGGCGUAAAGCGCGCGUAGGCGGUUUGUUAAGUCAGAUGUGAAAGCCCAUGGCUCAACCAUGGACGUGCAUUUGAAACUGGCAGACUUGAGUAUUGGAGGGGGUGGUGGAAUUCCCGGUGUAGAGGUGAAAUUCGUAGAUAUCGGGAGGAAUACCAGUGGCGAAGGCGACCACCUGGCCAAAUACUGACGCUGAGGUGCGAAAGCGUGGGGAGCAAACAGG